CAAAUCUUCGCUAAACGCUGGAAGUUGUUACAUGCCCUCUAAGCAGCGUUCUACUGCAAGAAUGUUUCAAAUUGGUUCAUUAAUAGCCGAGAUAGAAAUAUUUCAGUGCCGCAAACCCAUG
rnacentral:lncRNA from 1 species